UACGAAGGGGGCUAGCGUUGCUCGGAAUCACUGGGCGUAAAGGGUGCGUAGGCGGGUCUUUAAGUCAGGGGUGAAAUCCUGGAGCUCAACUCCAGAACUGCCUUUGAUACUGAAUAUCUUGAGUUCGGGAGAGGUGAGUGGAACUGCGAGUGUAGAGGUGAAAUUCGUAGAUAUUCGCAAGAACACCAGUGGCGAAGGCGGCUCACUGGCCCGAUACUGACGCUGAGGCACGAAAGCGUGGGGGAGCAA
rnacentral:rRNA from 1 species